rnacentral:rRNA from 1 species
AGUGAACGCUGGCGGCAGGCCUAACACAUGCAAGUCGAGCGGCAGCGCGUCCGACCACCCUCGGGUGGUCGGAUGGCGGCGAGCGGCGGACGGGUGAGGAAUGCAUCGGAAUCUGCCUCGUUGUGGGGGAUAACGUAGGGAAACUUACGCUAAUACCGCAUACGACCUACGGGUGAAAGUGGGGGACCUUCGGGCCUCACGCGAUGAGAUGAGCCGAUGCCGGAUUAGCUAGUUGGCGGGGUAAAGGCCCACCAAGGCGACGAUCCGUAGCUGGUCUGAGAGGAUGAUCAGCCACACUGGAACUGAGACACGGUCCAGACUCCUACGGGAGGCAGCAGUGGGGAAUAUUGGACAAUGGGGGCAACCCUGAUCCAGCCAUGCCGCGUGUGUGAAG